rnacentral:rRNA from 1 species
UGACGAAGCGACGCCGCGUGCGGGAAGAAGGCCUUCGGGUUGUAAACCGCUGUCGGGAGUUAAGAAAUGCAAGGAUGUUAAUAGCGUUCUUGCUUGACUAAGGCUCCGGAGGAAGCCACGGCUAACUCUGUGCCAGCAGCCGCGGUAAUACAGAGGCGGCAAGCGUUGUUCGGAAUUAUUGGGCGUAAAGAGCACGUAGGCGGCUAUGUAAGUCGGUUGUGAAAGCCUUCCGCUCAACGGAAGAACAGCAUCCGAUACUGCAUGGCUUGAGUGCGGGAGAGGAGAGUGGAACUUCUGGUGGAGCGGUGAAAUGCGUAGAUAUCAGAAGGAACGCCGGCGGCGAAAGCGACUCUCUGGCCCGCAACUGACGCUGAGUGUGCGAAAGCUAGGGGAGCAAACGGGAUUAGAUACCCCGGUAGUCCUAGCCGUAAACGAU